rnacentral:tRNA from 26 species
GCGGGAAUAGCUCAGCUGGUAGAGCAUCACGUUGCCAACGUGAAUGUCGCGAGUUCGAAUCUCGUUUCCCGCUCCA